GGCAGAUGGUACCGAAUAAGUCACCGGAGCGCACAGGAGCAUACAGGUUUCUAGCUGGGGGACAAGGAACCUUGACAGCUGAGAAUAAAGGACCAGAACAGGUAGGCGUCUUCCAGAGCUCUGGCCUCAAAUCAGGCUCAACCUAACCCAGCCCUGCCUCCCCAGCUCCUCCAACCCUCCUGUCCCCAUGGGUGAAUGUCCUUCCCUCUCUGCUUAAGUCCAGAUCCUCCCAAGGCUAAGACCAGGACAGCAGACAUCCCAAAGGCUUUUUCAAGCCAGGGGACAUGACAAUUAGUAAAAGCAAUUGGCCUGGUGCAGACAAGGACUGCAUGAGACAUUUCAUGAAAAUGGAACCAUAAAACACGUGCCUGCUCCUGUCCAGCCAAGAAUCACCGUGACUGUGACUGCCCACCAUCCUGAUCCCUUCUGUGGAAAGGGGACUGUAUUGAGCAGGAGUUUGAGGUGGGGAAAUUAUCCCAGUUAUCCAGGUGGGCCCUGAGUGCAAUCAUAGGGUCCAGGGCGACGGAGUUGGAGGUAUGAUAGCAGACGCGGAGGCCAGUGUGGUGUGCUCUGAGGACAGAGAAGGUGGGGCCUCUACCUGGGAGAGGUGAGGGGUGGUUUCGCCCCUGGAGCCUCCAGAUCUCAGACUUCCAACCUCCAGAACUAAGACAAUGAAUCUGUGAUGGCACCCACAGAGGAGCCCGAGCCCACACGCUUUAGGAGAGUCAACUGGCCGUGACGAGGCUUCGUCUCCCACAGAACACUCCUCCUGUCUCUGUAGCCCUGAUCCUUCCACCUGGAGCCCCUUCUGACCACCUCCUGCUGCCUUCCUUCUGCGCUCAGUCUGCUUCUGUGGACACUCUCUGAAGGCCCCACCUGCGGAGCAGGCCUUGCACACCUGUCUACCAACUGCGGGGCGCGCCCUGAGGAUCGGAUGUCCCUCUGCACAGGCCUAGACUGAGGACUGCAGCAUCACAAUCAGAAAGGCCACGGGCUGCCUUUGGAGGCCUGGGGGGCGGGGGCAGAUGAAGGGCUGCUGCUUAGUGGGUCCUGAUGGUGGAUGGGUGAAGUCUUCCGGAGCCGGGUGGCUCAGCCUGGCUAGUUUUAGGUUGGAAUAUGGUGUCUGUUCUGGAUGACAACGUUCUUCUGUGUGAGCACAUGAGUGGAUCUACGUGCUGCCACAGACAGGCUUCUAGAGGACUCUCACACUAGUUUGGCUUCAUCACCCAAGUGAGGCGAAAUGUUGGAGCCAUCUAAGUUCAAAUUCUGUGUGCUUUGUGGGUCUUGGGAAUGAACCAUCAACCAGGGAGAAGCCCCUCAGCUCCCUCUUCGGGGGUGACACCCUUGGGGAAGGUAGAUGGGGUUGAGGAUAGGACCAGAGAUUCCAUCUGUCCCAGCCCCUCCACUGAGGCUGCCCUCCCAGCAGUGGACCUCCCCUGUGUGUAGAUGAGAUGCCUCACCAGGUUGCUGCGGGCAGGGGCGGGCGGGGAGGGCCUGGCUUAUUAGCCACUUACGAAACCCUCAAGUCACCCUGCUUGGUGACCCCUGAAGCCCAGCCCAGCCCCUCCCAUCAGAGCUGCAGUCCUGGAGCAGCCACAUCCUGCCUGGGGAGAGGACAAGGGAGGUGGUGACCUGCCCUCCUGCAAACAGGGUGUGACCUGGAAUGGUUGCCUGGUGGUCCCCAAUAAGUAUGUCCCCUGGAACCCAGGUACGUAAGUGUAUUGGAGAGGAUCUCUGCGGGCUUAAUGAAGGAUCCUGCAGUGAGAUCAUCCUGGGUUACAUGGAGCCCUAAAUCCAAAGGCAAGUGUCCUAAGGAAGAAGAGGAGGAGCCAUGGAGGACGCAAAGAAGAGGCCGACGCUGGAGUGAGGCAGCCAUUCCCAGGAGACUGCAGAGUCCUGCACCGGUGCCUCUGGAGGAGCAGAGCCCGCUCCCCCUGGACUUAGGGCUUGUGGCCUCCAGGACUUCGAGAAUAAAUGUCCACUCCUUUGAGGCACCCA